rnacentral:lncRNA from 1 species
GAAUGGCCUUUUUAAUCAUUCCCAGAUCAAAUUCUAGACCAAAGACACAGCGGGCCAAGUCCCCAGGCACUGCCUGGAUGGAAGGCCAGCCACCUCCACAGCCCACUCCCUGACAGUGUCCCCUCACCUGUCUUCAAUACUCACCACUCCCACCCAGUCCCUGGCCCUGAUAACUCUUGUCGUGACACUUGUCUUUUCAUGUCUGCAUGUAAGUAACAUUUUGAAGUAGAGCUCGUGACUCUGGUCCACCUGCCUCUUGGAGAGAGGGCUAAGCUGUUGGCCAACCAGCCCUUGCCUGGAACAGGCCAGAUCCUGCCCUGCCUGUCAGAAGUAGACAGGAAGCCAGGAACAUUGCCAGGUUUAGAUGAGGACCUUCAGUGGGCCCAGGAGAACUCUCCUGGGAGAUGUUAU